GGAGAGAGAGAGAGGGUGGUGCACAACAGUUCUCUCCAACCACUUUGGAGGUGUCCAGAAUUGCAUUACAAACAAGACAAGGAAGAAAAUAUCUGAAUAUAGGGGCUUAGUCUCUUUAGUCUCAAAAUCCCGCUGCCUGCUGUUCACCUCCAAUCUGGACACCAGACUACAAAACCAACUGACUAUACACAGAAUUGCAAUGCCAUUGGCCAGUUCUGUUCCACGGGCCCGUCGGGCCGCCAAGGAGGAGGAAGAGCCUGCCCCACCCCCACCUCCUUCACACCACUCAAACCAUAACUUCAUGAACAUGAAGAACAAGUUCUUUAACGAGCUGACCCACAUGCCAAACCAUAAACUGAAAAUGCCCAUGUGGGCGAUAGGGGCCAUCGUGGUGGUGGUGCUGGCCCUGGUGGUGUGCCUGGGCUUCUGCAUCUACAAGAAGUGCAUCAACAAGGGCAAGAAGCCCAAGAAAGUCAGGGAGAGGAAGGGAGGAAGAGGCAGGAGAAAGAAGGACAAGGAUGGAGAGGAUGGCGAAGGGGGUGGGGAGAAGAAGGAUGGAGAGGAAGAGAAGGAACAGGAGAACUUUGGAAAACUGGAGUUUACCCUGGACUACAGCUUCACUGACAACCAGCUCGUCGUGGGCAUCCUGCAGGCACAGGACCUGGCAGCCAUGGACAUGGGUGGCACCUCCGAUCCCUACGUCAAAGUGUACAUGCUCCCUGACAAGAAGAAGAAGUUUGAGACCAAAGUCCAGCGUAAGAACCUCUGUCCCGUCUUCAACGAGACCUUCAGCUUCAAGAUCGCCUACAAUGAUUUGGGUGGUCAGACUCUGGUCUUACAGGUAUUUGACUUUGACCGCUUUGGGAAGCAUGACGUGAUCGGAGAGAUCAAGAUCCCCAUGAACAGCGUGGACCUGGCACAACCCCUCCACGAAUGGAGAGAUCUGGUUGGAGGAGAGAAAGAGGAGGAUGAGAAGCUGGGUGACAUCUGUAUUUCGUUGCGUUAUGUUCCAACGUCUGGCAAGCUCACCGUCAAUGUCAUGGAGGCCAAGAACCUAAAGAAGAUGGAUGUGGGAGGCUUGUCAGAUCCUUUUGUAAAGGUGGUGUUGCAGCACCAAGGCAAACGUCUGAAGAAGAAGAAGACGUCAGUGAAACAGAACACUCUGAACCCCUACUUCAACGAGAGCUUCAGCUUCGAGAUACCAUUCUCUCAGAUCCAGAAAAUCCAGGUGAUAAUCACUGUGUACGACUACGACAAGCUGGGCAGCAACGACGCCAUUGGGAAGUGUUUCAUUGGCUUCGGAGCCACAGGAGUGGGGCUACGCCAUUGGUCAGACAUGUUGGCCAAUCCCAGACGUCCUGUUGCCCAGUGGCAUACCCUGCGGCCUGAGGAGGAGGUGGAUGCUGCCCUGAAGGCACCCAUCCGCUAAGCACACACACAAGUACCACACACACACACACACACGUGUGACUCGCACAUCACAGACAUUUAAAAAAGAUCUCAAGCAUAAACCUCUACUGAACAUCAAAUGUACUGCAAGGAUAAACGUAUUACGAACACACUGAAAACACUUUCUUUUCGUGUUUUUUGAGUGAUGCACAUCCGCUCUCUGCAGUCUUGUCCUUAUGUUCUGGUCUCAACUGUUAUAUUUUAUUUUUGUGACCCCCUCUCCCCAAAACAUAACCGGUUGCCCAUUUAGUCAUUUGUUUUUACCAAUUAUGUGUUCUAUUUAAAUAUAUAUAUAUAUAUAUAUAUAUAUUUUGUGUCUUGAAUGUGUGUCAAUGUCUGUGCAUGUGUUUGGAGGAGAGAAUGUGUAUUUUGUUUAUUGGCUGAGGGAUGUGUGUUUGUGUGUGCAAGUCUGUCCUAUACCAUAGUUCAUGGAAAGCUUCCUCUGGUUUACCUCUUGAAUGUAACAUGGUGUAAAUAAAUAGAUGAUGAAAUCAUUCCAAACAAUAAUAGAUGAGUGGUUAUAC